rnacentral:rRNA from 1 species
UAGGGAAUCUUCGGCAAUGGGCGAAAGCCUGACCGAGCAACGCCGCGUGAAUGAUGAAGGCCUUCGGGUUGUAAAAUUCUGUUAUAAGGGAAGAACGACUUUAGUAGGAAAUGGCUAGAGUGUGACGGUACCUUAUGAGAAAGCCACGGCUAACUACGUGCCAGCAGCCGCGGUAAUACGUAGGUGGCGAGCGUUAUCCGGAAUUAUUGGGCGUAAAGAGCGCGCAGGUGGUUGAUUAAGUCUGAUGUGAAAGCCCACGGCUUAACCGUGGAGGGUCAUUGGAAACUGGUCAACUUGAGUGCAGAAGAGGGAAGUGGAAUUCCAUGUGUAGCGGUGAAAUGCGUAGAGAUAUGGAGGAACACCAGUGGCGAAGGCGGCUUCCUGGUCUGUAACUGACACUGAGGCGCGAAAGCGUGGGGAGCAAACA